GACGAACGCUGGCGGCGUGCUUAACACAUGCAAGUCGAACGGAAAGGCCCUGCGUUUGUGGGGUGCUCGGGGGGGGAACGGGGGAGGAACACGUGAGUAACCUGCCCUUGACUUUGGGGUAACUUAAGGAAACUGGGGCUAAUACCGGAUAGGAGCUCCUGCUGCAGGGAGGGGGUGGGAAAGUUUCGGCGGUUGGGGAUGGACGCGCGGCUUAUGAGCUUGUUGGUGGGGGAGUGGCUGACCAAGGCUGUGACGGGUAGCCGGCCGGAGAGGGUGACCGGCCUCCUUGGUCCUGCGGUACGGCCCAGACUCCUACGGUAGGCAGCGGUGGGGAAUAUUGCCCAAUGGGCGGACGCCUGAUGCAGCAACCCCGCGUGUGUGAUGGCGGCCUUCGGGUUGUAAACCGCUUUCGCCUGUGACGAAGCGUUAGUGACGGUACUGGGUAAAGAAGCACCGGCUAACUACGUG
rnacentral:rRNA from 1 species